rnacentral:tRNA from 1 species
GCGGAAGUAGUCUAGUGGUAAGAUGCGACCUUGCCAAGGUCGAGGCCCGGGUCCGAUUCCCGGCCUCCGCA